GCGGCCCCGGCGGCAUCGGGCGCGACACGGCACGGCCGGCGCCCCUCACCUGGAUGCGGGACUCGGGGAUCUGCGUGGCGUCGGCCAGUUUCUCCCGCAGAUGCACGUUAAAUGCACCUGGAAAGCCGCAGCAGAGGCAGACAUCGGUGUCAUCACCUUUUCCACCACUUGCUAAUGCCUUUACACAUCACACUGGCACAUCCCGUGUGCUUCUGCCAAAACUGAUUCCCAGACGAGAGGUCUUGUGCUGAAACGCUGCCUGCACACCCCAACAACACCAAGGCACUUAAAACGGAGAGAAACUUCUGGUGCUUUUGUCUGUGCUGGGAAUGCCUCAGCACUGAGGCAUCUGUGCCAAGAGGACUCACAACACAAAAUGUGCCUGUACCUGCAAUGAAACAGCUCUAAGCUUCAGCUGGAGGACACACUCUCACAUCACUGCUGCCAGCUCUGAGCAUCCAGCAAGGGCAAGACAGGCUGUGAAACACCACGGCUGGGGAGCAGCAGGGGGAGAUGGGCCCUGUGCUUGUGUCUCAUGGUCACUGAGAAAAGGAUCCAAAUGUGAAGCAAGUUUUGCUCCAAUGGUUCAAAACCAGAAGAAAAUACACCAGAACCAGAACUGUCCUCAUAUGGUUGGAUGCCUGUUACAAUAUGAACACAAACCCAUGGUCUUUCUCUGCCCUUGGCUGCCCUGGUGCUGUUAAAAUCCACCAAGUUUUCCCUCUCUGAGUAGGACUGCCUGGAGAAUCCUUCAUCUGGCUUCCCUGUGCUUCCCUGCUGCUUCUCAGGCAUGUGCCAAGCUUUUCUUCCCUGCCCCUGGAAGGCUCUCUGUGCUGCUGGACACAUGGCAAAAAGCAAAUUCAUUUACUGCUGCAGAUGGGACAGCUGCAAUCCAAGGUGGAUGGAGAGUGACUCCAGGCUGGGGUGAUCUCAAUAGAUCUCUACUGCCAUCUUAGCCACCCCCACAUCUUUACAAGACCACCCUUUUCCUCUUUUGCAGUCACAUCUUUGCAGCUGGGAUGCCUCUUACAUAAGGUAUUUGAGGUAAGAGAAGGUUUAAAGGAAUGCUGAGGGUUUGCUGCAGGUCUGAGUGAUCAAAAAAGGUGCAGCAGUGUCACGGUGUAGGUUUCUAUUUGCAGUUCCACUGCUGCUGGCCUCUUUUGUCACUCACUGACAAUGCCUGAAAUAUGGCUAUAGACAAAAUGUUUAUGACAGUGGCUGGAGAUUGCAGAGCUGGGCAGGAUAUCACAUCUGUCACAGCAUCACCUGGCUGUUUUACAUCAUGUGUGUCCUGGUCAGUGCCAGCAUAGCAGUGUUCAUGGUUUUCUGGCAUUUCAAAACCACUUUAUUUCUCUCAAAUUUUGCCAGGAUAAGGGCAGAAGUGAGAAGAUAAUGAGUUUUCUUUGAUUAAUCUCACUUGGUUAAGCUCUCCUUCCUCUGUGCUUUGUAUUUUUACCAACUACUGCACCAAGGGUCCUGGCAUAUACACAGUAGUUCAGGAUAAAAAGGGAACCUGCUGCCACUAAAAAUCCUGACAGAACAAGGACUGAUCCUACCUGCUCACAGAGCUUGAUUUUGCAUCUCUUCAGCCAAAUGGUGAUCUUUCCUCUGGCUGCAUGGAGCAAACUCCUGCUUUAGGGACCAGGAUAAUUCUUAAGAGCCACACAGGUGUCCAGCCAAGCAAAUCCUCCCUGAUGUUGCACUCUUUCCCCAUCUACUCAACCUGACCUCCUUUAUUCCAAACAAGUUUUUGCAUUUCAGAUUUCCACAGCAGCAAGCUGCCAUUAACAGUGUGUGACCAAGUCUGGGCUGUCCAAACACACCCAUCAAAUGCCACUGUCACUGCCUGUGACCCCAGUGCUGAAGAGCAGGUGCAUGGCACCCUGGCCAAGACACACAGGGCUGUUCCUAGAAGAUGCCUGUUCCAGAGCUGGAUUGCUGCCUGCUUCCUGCUCUCCAGGCCUUUAUGUAAUCUUGAAGCAGUGCAGCUUCACCAGGUUCCUUUGUCUUUGUCUAACCAAAGUGCAAAAGCUGUUUUCAGGUGGAAAUUUUACUUAGGACUAUGUAAAAUGUGCACAGCACAAAGAGCUGCAAAAGACCAGGUCAUUCAUUCCAGGUCUGAGUGAAUUCUUUCCCUGUCCACACUUCUCAAACUCUGGCCCAUGUUUUCAGCAGCUGGAGAAACCAUCAACCACAUCACACAAAAGUAAAGACUUAUUCACUUUUUUUUUCUUUUUUUUUUCACAACAAAAGGAGAGCCACUCCUGUGAAAUCCUCUCCAGAUCUGUGGGUCCAGGUUGCUGGUUUUCUCCAUGUAGGCAUGUAAAAAUUAUGAAUUGUGAAAAAAGGAGUGAUGAAGUGCUCUUUGGAGCACUUGCAGAAUAGGCAUAGUUUGGAUAAAGGCAAUUUUUCUUUCUCUAGGUGGAGUUUGAGCCAUUUGAGAGUUGUUAAUUGUACAUUGAUAUGAACAGGAAGGGGAGCAUAACAUAAAGAGGACAGUAACAACCCUGAGGCUGGCUGGGAGACUGGUGUGGCUGCUGGUGUCUUAUGCUGAAGCAGGAAUUGGUUUGACAUUUUGGAGGGGAAGGCAGUGCUGGUCAGUCCUGGCUGCUGUGCUGGGGGCAUGCUGAUUCAAUGGCUCUGAGGAUAAUGCAUUUUGCAGCAGAGAGGAGAUUGUGUCUGUGCAGUUCUCAGGAGGAAUUGUGCCAUCACACCCCACAAACAGCAAGCAGUGCCAAGUUGUGAAAGGGCUUGUGUCAGUAAAUCACCUGUGAUGUUUUUGGCAGGCCAUCUAACCACCACCCAGGGAAGGCUCUCAGACUGGUGAUGCACCAUCUCCUCCCAUUUUGCACUGUCUGCAGGUGAAGGUAGGCUGGAUAUCCCUGCCUUGGCCCCCUAGAGGGACUUCUGGCCAGGACAGUGUAUCCCUGUUUAAGAUUAAACAGAAGUCAGGCAAAGAGAGUAAGAUAUUAACAUUUCCCCAUGAGAUCAUGUAGGAUCCCAGAAAAAACCAUUGCUGAAAACCAAAGAGUCCUCAGUCCCAGACUCAGAGGAGGUGCAGUGCAUGUAAAGCUGUGAAAGUGCCCCAGGAAACCCAGGCCAUUCACAUGGAGUAUGUCCAGCUAUUGAGUAGUAGAGAUACCCAGACACACACAAGGACAGUGUGGAUUUAGACAUUUUGGGGGCUAGACUUGAGUCCUGGAUAAGCUUCAGCUUGGUUCCAACUAACUCAGCUUUAUUAUUUUCUUGAGAGUGAGUACAGUGCAGAGCUCUCUCCCAAAAGCUCUGGAAGCUGCUGGUCCAGUUCAGAAAGGUGGCUGGGUGUGUGAUGCUCCUCUCCAGUGAUUUUUACUGCACAGGAGCUUUUAGCCAGGUUCCGGCAGCAUCCUGGUGACACCAGUGAUAACAGUGCAGAAGCAUUUGGCCUCUUUUGGUUUGGACACUCAUCCAUGAGGCACUGAGAGCUACCUACAGUGAGCUAUUACAGCUGUUGGUCACUGCUGACCUGGGCCAGCUUUGAUUGCUGAUCCUGAGAGGUUUCACUCUGUCAUUCUUCUCCAGAGGUUUCUGCUCUUCCUGGAAAAAAAAUAUUCAAGAGCAUUUCUAAUGGAUGCAGAAAAAACAAACAAACACAUCCCCAGGCUUUUAGGUAUUGCACUGCUUCCUGUGACCCUCUCUCCUCCCAGCAAUGCCUAGAUUUCAGGUUGCAUAGGCUGGGUGGAAUAUAUUUUAGAACAAGACUCUAUUUAGCCGUGAUGUCAACUGCAGCCAACUAUAAAAAGCUCAGUAAUGCUCUUUGAAAGUGUAACAGCUGCUGCUCUACACAGUCCCUGGUGUAUUACAAGUCCGCCCUACUUCAUGUUCACACAACCAAAAUAAAAUACAAUAGCAAUCAUUAAAUAGUUCAAGGAAUUUGGGACAUGAUCUCCCCAGAAACCAGGAGGAAUUCAAGGUUAGACAAACUGAGUAAUUGUGCAUGGUUUGUUAACAGAAAGGGAAUUUACAAAAUUGACUUUUACCUCCCAUUGACUAUGUGCUGUCAAUGAUCCUUACACAGUGACAGAGCAGCAAACCUUCCUUUGGGCAGCUCUGCUGGGUGUUGUUCACACACACAAACUGAGCAUUUUCAUCCUUAACUGGAUUUGGUCAUGUAUAUUUAGAAAAACACUGAUCAGGCCAAAAUUUCCUAUAAAAGCAGGAAAGGAAACAGUUGAACGAAACAUUUUUUAUUAAUCCAGAUGAACAGACAGAAGUGAAUGACUGUGGAAUUAUGCUAGCACUGCCCACCCUCACAGUACUGGAGAGGUGGUUUUGGCUGGGUCUCUGUUAAGGACAGCCUUGAAAUGCUGGAUGUUGUAGUAAAGUGUUUUGGUUUUUGUUUUUUUGCUUUUGUUUUUAAAUCUCAGCAAUAAACAUUCAGGAGUGAUCCCUGCAAUUCA